AGAACGAACGCUGGCGGCGUGGAUAAGACAUGCAAGUCGAACGCGACUUAUUGUGUUAGCAAUAACAUGGUAAGUUGAGUGGCGAAAGGGUGCGUAACACGUGGGAAUUUACCAAGAAGUGGGGAAUAGCUCGACGAAAGUCGAAUUAAUACCGCAUGUGAUCGAAAGAUCAAAGUCGGGGACCGCAAGGCCUGACGCUUUUUGAGAAGCCCGCGGCCCAUCAGCUAGUUGGUGAGGUAACGGCUCACCAAGGCUAUGACGCGUAGCCGGACUGAGAGGUCGGACGGCCACAUUGGGACUGAGACACUGCCCAGACUCCUACGGGGGGCUGCAGUACGAAUCUUCCGCAAUGCACGAAAGUGUGACGGAGCGACGCCGCGUGUGGGACGAAGUCCUUCGGGAUGGUAAACCACUGUCAGGGGUAAGAAGUUCUGAUCUACCCCGAGAGGAAGGCACGGCUAACUCUGUGCCAGCAGCCGC
rnacentral:rRNA from 1 species